rnacentral:rRNA from 1 species
GAGUUUGAUCCUGGCUCAGGAUAAACGCUGGCGGCGUGCUUAACACAUGCAAGUCGAACGGGGGUGCCAUGAACGAAGCAUCAGUUUACUGAUAUGGAGGGAAUGGGACCCUAGUGGCGGACGGGUGAGUAACGCGUGGGUAACCUGCCCCAUACCGGGGGAUAACACUUAGAAAUAGGUGCUAAUACCGCAUAAGCGCACGGUACUGCAUGGUACAGUGUGAAAAACUCCGGUGGUAUAAGAUGGACCCGCGUCUGAUUAGCUUGUUGGCGGGGUAACGGCCCACCAAGGCGACGAUCAGUAGCCGGCCCGAGAGGGUGGACGGCCACAUUGGGACUGAGACACGGCCCAAACUCCUACGGGAGGCAGCAGUGGGGAAUAUUGCACAAUGGGGGAAACCCUGAUGCAGCGACGCCGCGUGAGUGAAGAAGUAUUUCGGUAUGUAAAGCUCUGUCAGCAGGGAAGAAAAUGACGGUACCUGACCAAGAAGCCCCGGCUAACUACGUGCCAGCAGCCGCGGUAAUACGUAGGGGGCAAGCGUUAUCCGGAUUUACUGGGUGUAAGGGAGCGCAGACGGCAAUGCAAGCCUGGAGUGAAAGGCGGGGGCCCAACCCCCGGACUGCUCUGGGAACUGUAUAGCUAGAGUGCAGGAGAGGCAAGUGGAAUUCCUAGUGUAGCGGUGAAAUGCGUAGAUAUUAGGAGGAACACCAGUGGCGAAGGCGGCUUACUGGACUGUAACUGACGUUGA